rnacentral:lncRNA from 1 species
AGGUGUUGACAUCAUAUGUCAAAUGCAUGUUAUACCCCAUCUAAUGCCUUAGGCCCAAAACCAUUUUGAUAGCCUAAUUAGGUCCAACCAAAAUUAAAUAGAUGAGUAACUAUUACUCAUCCUAUCUUACUAAGAUAACCUAAGCACUUUGUUUUGGCAAAACCUGCAUUUUGGUGAUCUUAGUCUUGAUAGGUAUUUAAUAUAUGGGUCGCAUUAAAACUUAAAAUUUAGAGUGAGGGUUCAACUUUUAAUUUUAAUUAUUUUGUCUUGCAUAUAUAUAUUAUAGCAU